UACGGAGGGUGCAAGCGUUAUCCGGAUUCACUGGGUUUAAAGGGUGCGUAGGCGGGUAUUUAAGUCAGUGGUGAAAUCCUAGAGCUUAACUCUAGAACUGCCAUUGAUACUAUUUAUCUUGAAUAUUGUGGAGGUAAGCGGAAUAUGUCAUGUAGCGGUGAAAUGCUUAGAUAUGACAUAGAACACCUAUUGCGAAGGCAGCUUACUACGCAUAUAUUGACGCUGAGGCACGAAAGCGUGGGGAUCAAACAGG
rnacentral:ncRNA from 2 species